rnacentral:rRNA from 1 species
UUAGUACGAGAGGACCGGGCUGGACGGACCACUGGUGUACCUGCUGUCUACCAAAGGCAUGGCAGGGUAGCCAAGUCCGGAAGGGAUAAACGCUGAAGGCAUCUAAGCGUGAAGCCCCCCUUAAGAUGAGAUAUCCCAAUCGUAAGAUUGUAAGACCCCUUGAAGACUACAAGGUAGAUAGGGCAGAGGUGGAAGUGCAGUAAUGUAUGCAGCUGACUGUUACUAAUCGGUCGAGGGCUUGACCAA